rnacentral:lncRNA from 1 species
GGAGAUGCUGAGAGCAUGCAGUCGCACCAUAUAUAGGUGGCGUUCUCCGUCAAGCCGUCGGUACGCCUGGGCUGCGGUGGCGACUAGGUCGUCCAGGAGCUCGCCACCAGGUUGCCCAAACGUAGCACUAUGGUGAGUAAUUGUUCUGUUCUGUGCCUUUGGUCUGCAGAUCUCGAUUUCAUGCUUCCUAUUAUGUUCUGAAUCUGGAUAGGGGUGCGCUAUGAUGGUUGCUUAGUUAGUUUGGCCACACGGAAGACUGGGGCACAGACGCGAACGCUGGAGCCUUACUUUUUCGUUCACAGUCUGGGUGUAUGUUUGCUGAAUUGCUCACGUGAGGCUAGGAUUAUUCACACUGAUAUUUUGUCCUCCUGGCCAAAGAUCAAUAAUAACCUUUACAGUACCUAACUCAUGAGCACCUCGGCAAAAUACCAGGUAUAGAUUAUCAAUUUUCAACAACAUCCUUGUCUAGAAUCUUUUUACAGCUUGCAUAUUUGACAGUAUCUGCAACCGAAAUAUCUUUCAAUGUAAUAUUUCUCCUAGCAAGAUGCAAGAACAGAGUACGACCUACCACAACUCCAACUUACACUUUAUGCAUCAAUGCUAAUCCAAUCAUUCUUCUCGCAAAAGUGAAGUAUUUCAAGUGCAGUGGAUCCACAUGAGAUGCUGCAAUCUGCAGAUAGUUGUCAAAGGUUAGAGGAUAUCGGAGCAACAUCGUUAUGGACAUGAAUUGUCUCACAAAUAGUUGAUAAAUAAGAAUGAAUCGAACAGAAUAAAGAAAGACAAAAAAAUGCAUGCUGCCUAUGAUAAGUACUACUUUAUUAUGUUAAUAUGAAGGUCUCCCUAUAAUUCACAUGUUAAGAUUUUCCUGCCAAUUUGUUUGCUUUCUCAGUAUCUUGAUAAUCUUAGCGCUAGAAGGUAUGCAUGAUAGAUCUUUGGGUUCUAAAGUUGUGAACAAAUUAUUUUCACCCUUGAAAACGUCUACAAAUGUACACCUAAUAAGACUUACCAAUAAUAUAUAUACGACAAUUGUUAACAUCCGUGAAGUUCACGGACGACAUUUUUUAAAUAGCGUUGAAUAGAAUCAAAUGGGAAGGGUGAAAGGUUCUGCUUAUCAGAUAGCGUUAGAUAAAAUUAAGUGACAAGGAUGGAAGCUUUUGCUUAUGAAUUUGAUUAAACUUCUCCAUGUGCGUUCCUAUACUAUACUCCAUCUGUGAAUAGAAAGAUACAAGCACCGGUCACCCUAUACGUGAAAAUAUAUAGCACAUCUAAUAAGGACCCCUGAGCAUCAAAGAAGAAAAAUCUUCCAAGAACUGAACAUUGACAUCUAUUAUCAGUAGCCUUUUAAGUCAUAUAAUGAUUAUAUUUGUAUGGUAUGUAUAAUUAUAUAUACUCAGCCCGCUGCAUAUAAUUUGUGCACAUAUAUAACGACCUAAUAGCACAUGUUGAAAUAGAAAAAACUAACUCUCAUGAUAAUUCACAUAACUCUUUGUUUUAGAUGAAUUUAGUUGUUCCAAAACCAACUAAUGGAUCUAUCUAGCUGUUUUAACUUCUGUAUAAUGCAUAAAUAUAAUAUUUGCACUAUAUACGAAUUUCUAGCUUACACAGAUAUAAAAUUUUAACUAUUUAUAUUACAAAAUAUUUACUACGCGCGCAAAGCUCGCGCACGUUACUAGU